UUCUAAUUCUAACAGCUCACUGCCCAAAUCGACACAUUUUCUUGCUGAUCUCCCCGUUUCGCCGACCAAAAAUCUACCCAGCAGAAUUAAUGUCAUCUCAAAGCAAGUAAAAUCCAAUGUUUUUGUCGAAAAAAUAGAAGUUACAACCCUAAAUUCGGAUUGCCACUCGGUCAUAAAAUUUGUUGAAAUUAGAAACCCCAAUAAUUCCAAGGGCAAACAACCUAUUAAUAUUUCUUCACGGACACAAGAUGAAAGAAAUGUUGGUUCAGAUGCAUUGAAAAUGGGAGAUACUAAACGUCCAAGGAAGACUCCCAUAUUCUUCUGGUUAAAGGAAGUAAAUUUAAGGUUAGGGCUAAUUCUUGUGAAUCGGUUGUUGAAGCGAUGUCAAAGGUGGUUGCAAAAACCGAGUCUGACAGUUAAUUAUGGAUUCAAGUUAGGACAGGGGGCUUUGACGGAUCUUAGUGAGGUGGCUAACCUAAAUGUUUAAGGAUUGGAUGUUGGCAAACUUUAGGAAUGUUUUUGGUCUAGAAUAUUAGAAUGUGAUGUGGCAAUCUCUCUUUGGAAUUAUAUGUUGGAAGCUUUGGAAACAAAUGAAUCUUAAGAUUUUCCAAGGGAUUCUUUCUGAUGCUGCCAAUAUUCUACAAUUUGAAUGGUGUUGGAUGAGUUAUAUUAAGUCGAAGAUUAGCAGACUAGUGGUUCUAUGAGUAAUCGACGUGGAAAUUAUAGGUGGAUCCCGUCACUUUUUGGUUCGAUCAAAAUAGAUGCUGAUGGUGCCCACAAUCUGUUUUUAGGCCUUGUAUCUUCGACAACAGUGGCAAGAGAUGAACAUGGUAGGUGGCUUUAGAGGAUUGGGAGAAAAUUGGAAGAUGUAGUGUUGAACAAGUUGAACUUUAGGCUAUUUAUGAUGGAUUUCAUCUUGCAUGGGAUUUUAAUUGGAAGGAGGUUAUUCUUGAGAAUAACUGCGCUCAGGCUAUUAAAGGUAUUCAUGGAGGCUUCAAAGGACAAGCAAAUAGAGAUUUGAAAUUACUUAUCCAAGAAUUAGGCAUUCCUGAUUGGCAAGUUGUCAUUAAAAAUAUUCUAAAAGAAGCGAAUUUCGCCCCGCAUAUCUUGCAUUUAAGAGCAAAAAGGAGCAAAAAACGAGCGAAAAUCGAAAAAUUGGAGAAAGUUACAAGAGCCACACAAUCUGAUCCAUUCCACACGGCCUGGACACACGGUCGUGUGAGCCACACAGCCUGUGUAAGGCCCUGAAAAUGUUUCGGGAGGAAUGUGCAAAUCAAAAUUGAAGCUCAAACUUGCUUAUUUAAGCACAUUUUUGCUUAAAGAGCUAAGUGUGGAGAGAAAUUCUGGGUGUAAAGAGUUGAAAAGCGAGUGUAAGGGUAAUCCAAGAAUAAGGCUCGGUACUGGCUUAAGAAAUUUACUUUAGGCUCUAUAUAGAGGUAUUGCGAUGUUUUUGGGACUAGUGUUAUUUUACUUGUAAUGGACAUUGUACAUUAAAUUUUGGAAUUUAAUUUUGGUGAUUUUAUAAUUACUUUAAUACAUAAUUUAUGUCUAAUUGAUGUUUGAUUUAUGGUGUAUUCAUGAGUGUUCGUACGGUGGUUGAUAACACGGUGUAUGAAGCAUGUAUUUUAUAAUAACAAUGUUUAAUUGAAGCUUACCAUGGAGGGGAUUGCUUGCGACUAAGGUUUUUCAGACAUUCUAAGACGUAUAUAUGAAAAAAAAUAAGAAGAGAGGAGUAAGCCGUCAUGGAAUAUUCAAGAAAACAACUCGAAGAACACCAUUGAAGUCGACUCUGAAGCAGACUUCCAUCAAGAUUGAAGACUCCCAUUUGAUUUAUUUAGAGAUUAUCAUGAGUUUCUUUGUUUCUUGCAAUUAUAAUGUAUCUUGGAUGUUUCCAUUUUUAAGCAUGAACUAAUUUUCUAAAAACCUAGGGAUAUGAACCCUAUGAUAGAUUCUGUUGUUUGAUUUUUUAUUUAGGGAAUAAAUUCUUAGUUUCUUAUUCUCAA